rnacentral:tRNA from 1 species
GCCCCAUUAGCUCAGCUGGUCAGAGCAUCGUGCUUAUGACACGAAGGUCGCGGGUUCGAGCCCCGCACGGGGUA